GUCGGUGACGAUUGUGAUGAGGUCCCACCUGUUCCCAUGCCGAACACAGAAGUUAAGCUCAUCAUCGCCUACGAUACUUGGCGGGUAACUGCCUGGGAAAAUUGGUGUUGCCGGCA
rnacentral:rRNA from 1 species